rnacentral:rRNA from 1 species
UACGUAGGGGGCAAGCGUUGUCCGGAAUUAUUGGGCGUAAAGAGCGCGUAGGCGGUCCGAUAAGUCGGCUGUGAAAGUCAAGGGCUCAACCCUUGAAAGCCGGCCGAUACUGCAUGACUAGAGUACGGAAGAGGCGAGUGGAAUUCCUGGUGUAGCGGUGGAAUGCGCAGAUAUCAGGAGGAACACCAAUAGCGAAGGAAGCUCGCUGGGACGUUACUGACACUGAGGCGCGAAAGCGUGGGGAGCGAACAGG